rnacentral:rRNA from 1 species
UACGGAGGGUGCAAGCGUUGUCCGGAAUCAUUGGGCGUAAAGAGUUCGUAGGUGGUUUGUUAAGUCUGGUGUUAAAGCCCGAAGCUCAACUUCGGUUCGGCAUCGGAUACUGGCAGACUAGAAUGCGGUAGAGGUAAAGGGAAUUCCUGGUGUAGCGGUGAAAUGCGUAGAUAUCAGGAGGAACAUCGGUGGCGUAAGCGCUUUACUGGGCCGUAAUUGACACUGAGGAACGAAAGCCGGGGUAGCAAAU